rnacentral:rRNA from 1 species
GUUGAACGCUGGCGGCGUGCCUAAUACAUGCAAGUCGAGCGAAGCGGGGACGGGUGAGUAACACGUGGAUAACCUCCUAUAAGACUGGGGUAACUUCGGGAAACCGGAGCCACACCGGACACUUAUAGCUGGUUCUGCGCUGCAUUAGCUAGUUGGUAAGGUAACGGCUUACCAAGGCAACGAUGCAUAGCUGACCUGAGAGGAUGAUCAGCCACACUGGAACUGAGACACGGUCCAGACUCCUACGGAAGGCAGCAGUAGGGAAUAUUCCGCAAUGGGCGAAAGCCUGACGAAGCAACGCCGCGUGAAUGAAGAAGGUCUUCGGAUCGUAAAACACUGUUAGUAGGGAAGCGGUACCUAAACAAAAAGCCCCGGCUAACUACGUGCCAGCAGCCGCGGUAAUAC